rnacentral:rRNA from 1 species
GCUGUGAGCUCGAUGAGUAGGGCGGGACACGUGGUAUCCUGUCUGAAUAUGGGGGGACCAUCCUCCAAGGCUAAAUACUCCUGACUGACCGAUAGUGAACCAGUACCGUGAGGGAAAGGCGAAAAGAACCCCGGCGAGGGGAGUGAAAAAGAACCUGAAACCGUGUACGUACAAGCAGUGGGAGCACAGGUUUACCUGUGUGACUGCGUACCUUUUGUAUAAUGGGUCAGCGACUUAUAUUCUGUAGCAAGGUUAACCGAAUAGGGGAGCCGUAGGGAAACCGAGUCUUAACCGGGCGUUAAGUUGCAGGGUAUAGACCCGAAACCCGGUGAUCUAGCCAUGGGCAGGUUGAAGGUUGGGUAACACUAACUGGAGGACCGAACCGACUAAUGUUGAAAAAUUAGCGGAUGACCUGUGGCUGGGGGUGAAAGGCCAAUCAAACCGGGAGAUAGCUGGUUCUCCCCGAAAGCUAUUUAGGUAGCGCCUCGUGAACUCAUCUCCGGGGGUAGAGCACUGUUUCGGCUAGGGGGCCAUCCCGGCUUACCAACCCGAUGCAAACUGCGAAUACCGGAGAAUGUUAUCACGGGAGACACACGGCGGGUGCUAACGUCCGUCGUGAAGAGGGAAACAACCCAGACCGCCAGCUAAGGUCCCAAAGUCAUGGUUAAGUGGGAAACGAUGUGGGAAGGCCCAGACAGCCAGGAUGUUGGCUUAGAAGCAGCCAUCAUUUAAAGAAAGCGUAAUAGCUCACUGGUCGAGUCGGCCUGCGCGGAAGAUGUAACGGGGCUAAACCAUGCACCGAAGCUGCGGCAGCGAACGUAUCACUUAAAGCGAUUCAGCGGGUUACGAUUGACGGAGCGAAGCGACGUCAAAGCGUAUACAAAGUCGAGUCGGUUUAAGGAUACGUUCGUUGGGUAGGGGAGCGUUCUGUAAGCCUGUGAAGGUGGCCUGUGAGGGUUGCUGGAGGUAUCAGAAGUGCGAAUGCUGACAUAAGUAACGAUAAAGCGGGUGAAAAGCCCGCUCGCCGGAAGACCAAGGGUUCCUGUCCAACGUUAAUCGGGGCAGGGUGAGUCGACCCCUAAGGCGAGGCCGAAAGGCGUAGUCGAUGGGAAACGGGUUAAUAUUCCC